GACGAACGCUGGCGGCGUGCUUAACACAUGCAAGUCGAACGGAAAGGCCCUGCUUUUGUGGGGUGCUCGAGUGGCGAACGGGUGAGUAACACGUGAGUAACCUGCCCUUGACUUUGGGAUAACUUCAGGAAACUGGGGCUCAUACCGGAUAGGAGCUCCUGCUGCAUGGUGGGGGUUGGAAAGUUUCGGUGGUUGGGGAUGGACUCGCGGCUUAUCAGCUUGUUGGUGGGGUAGUGGCUUACCCAGGCUUUGACGGGUAGCCGGCCUGAGAGGGUGACCGGCCACAAUGGGACUGAGAUACGGCCCAGACUCCUACGGGAGGCAGCAGUGGGGAGUAUUGCACAAUGAGCGGAAGCCUGAUGCAGCAACGCCGCGUGCGGGAUGACGGCCUUCGGGUUGUAAACCGCUUUCGCCUGUGACGAAGCGUGAGUGACGGUAAUGGGUAAAGAAGCACCGGCUAACUACGUG
rnacentral:rRNA from 1 species